rnacentral:rRNA from 1 species
UACGGAGGGUGCAAGCGUUAUCCGGAUUCACAGGGUUUAAAGGGUGCGUAGGUGGAAUGGUAAGUCAGUGGUGAAAUCUCCAAGCUUAACUUGGAACUGCCGUUGAUACUAUCAUUCUUGAAUAUCGUGGAGGUGAGCGGAAUAUGUCAUGUAGCGGUGAAAUGCUUAGAUAUGACAUAGAACACCGAUUGCGAAGGCAGCUCACUACGCGAUUAUUGACACUGAGGCACGAAAGCGUGGGGAGCAAACAGG